GAGAGAAACAUAAAUCUGGCUUACGUGC
rnacentral:piRNA from 1 species